GAUGGAGAACGUAGCGAAAUGCGAUACUUGGUGUGAAUUGCAGAAUCCCGUGAACCAUCGAGUCUUUGAACGCAAGUUGCGCCCGAAGCCAUCAGGUUGAGGGCACGUCUGCCUGGGCGUCACAUAUCGUUGCCCAAUGCCUAUUGCAGUGCAAUAGGAAUUUCUAGGGCGAAUGAUGGCUUCCCGUGAGCGUUGUUGCCUCGCGGUUGGUUGAAAAUCGAGUCCUUGGUAGGGUGUGCCAUGGUAGAUGGUGGUCGAGUUAGAACGAUACCGAUCAUGUGCAUGCUCCCCAAAAUAUGGCCUCUAUGACCCACACGCGUCUUUUGACGCUCAUGACGAGACCUCAGGUCAGGCGGGGCUACCCGCUGAAUUUAAGCAUAUCAAUAAGCGGAGGA
rnacentral:misc_RNA from 1 species